rnacentral:rRNA from 1 species
UACGUAGGGGGCUAGCGUUGUCCGGAAUCAUUGGGCGUAAAGAGCGUGUAGGCGGUCCGGUAAGUCUGCUGUGAAAGCCCGGGGCUCAACCCUGGGAGGCGGGUGGAUACUGCUGAGCUCGAGUCCGGAAGAGGCGAGUGGAAUUCCUGGUGUAGCGGUGAAAUGCGCAGAUAUCAGGAGGAACACCAAUGGCGAAGGCAGCUCGCUGGGACGGUACUGACGCUGAGACGCGAAAGCGUGGGGAGCAAACAGG